GACGAACGCUGGCGGCGUGCUUAACACAUGCAAGUCGAACGGAAAGGCCUGCUUUCCCUUGUGGAUUGCGGGUACUCGAGUGGCGAACGGGUGAGUAACACGUGAGUUAUCUGCUCCCAACUUGGGUAUAAGCCUGGGAAACUGGGUCUAAUUCCCGAUAGGACUGCAGGGGGGUGCGUGUGGUGGAAAACGAUGUUCUGGUGGUUGGGGAUGAGCACGCGGCCUAUCAGCUUGUUGGUGGGGUAGUGGCUUACCAAGGGUUUGACGGGUAGCCGGCCGGGGGGGGUGACCGGCCACAUGGGGAGGGAGAUCCGGGCAGGACUCCUCCGGGAGGGAGCAGUGGGGAAUAGUGCACUAUGGGCGGAAGCCUGAUGCAGCAACGCCGCGUGCGGGAUGAGGGCCUUCGGGUUGUAAACCGCUUUCGCCUGUGACGAAGCGUGAGUGACGGUAAUGGGUAAAGAAGCACCGGCUAACUACGUG
rnacentral:rRNA from 1 species